rnacentral:rRNA from 1 species
CAGUCGCCACGGUAAUACAGAGGGUGCAAGCGUUAAUCGGAAUUACUGGGCGUAAAGCGCGCGUAGGUGGUUUGUUAAGUUGGAUGUGAAAGCCCCGGGCUCAACCUGGGAACUGCAUCCAAAACUGGCAAGCUAGAGUACGGUAGAGGGUGGUGGAAUUUCCUGUGUAGCGGUGAAAUGCGUAGAUAUAGGAAGGAACACCAGUGGCGAAGGCGACCACCUGGACUGAUACUGACACUGAGGUGCGAAAGCGUGGGGAGCAAACAGGAUUAGAUACCCCUGUAGUCCCUGUCUCUUAUAU